rnacentral:rRNA from 1 species
GACGAACGCUGGCGGCGUGCUUAACACAUGCAAGUCGAACGAAGUGGCGAACGGGUGAGUAAUACGUGAGUAAACUGCCCUACUUUUUGGGACAAACCUUGGAAACGGGGUAUAAUAACGAAUACAGGGGGAUGGGCGCGCGGCCUAGCAGCUUGGUGAGGGGGUGAUGGCCUACCAAGGCGGUGACGGGUAGCCGGCCUGGGAGGGUGACCGUGUGCAUGAGGCCGGGCCUAGGGCCCAGCCGCCUGCAGGAGGCAGCAGUGUGGGAUAUUGCACAAUGGGCGGAAGCAGUAAUCAGCGACGCCGCAUGGGGGAGUACGGCUUUCGGGGUGUAAACCUCUUUCGCUAUCGAACCGGUAGGUGGCGAAAAAGCGCCGGCUAACUACGUGCCAGCAGCCGCGGUAAUAC